rnacentral:rRNA from 1 species
AUGAUUUUGUGGCAAAUAGUGGAUCAACCCAACUGUGUUGCUGCCAUGCGAGACAGGACAGCAUACGCCUGUGUCAGCAAACACUCCGACUGCUACGAUGUAGAAGGCUACAUCUGCGUCUGCAACCCCGGCUAUUCAGGCAACCCCUUCAUUAAAGAAGGCUGCUCCAAAGACAAAGGGUAUAAUCCAAUUCCGAGUAGGGUUGACUGUACUCGUCGGUGUGGUAACAUUACUGUGGAAUUCCCGUUUGGCUUAGAAGAGGGUUGCUUUGCCCGGGAAGAGUUUCACCUCAACUGCACAAAUACAACGUCAUCGACUGUUCUAAUGCUGGAGGAUUUUGAGGUGGCCGGCAUGAAUAUUGAAAAAGGGACCUUUGAGUACAACGACCAUAGCCCUGUAGAACAAAUAUCUGGAGGACGCAUCCUUUUUGUGGGUUAUGAGUUUUUAUCCUCUCUGCAGUGGGUAGCUGCCAAUCUAAGUUGCCUAGAAGCCCAACUUGAUACAUCUGGAUAUGCUUGUGUGAGUAUCAACAGCAGGUGCGUGGGAGUAAAUGCUACAAUUGACUAUAGAUUUUCUGAAGCUACUAAAGAAGACACCUAUGUCGGUUAUCGUUGUAAAUGCACUGACGGCUUCAAAGGAAACCCAUACAUCCAAAAUGGCUGUCGAGAUAUUAAUGAAUGCCUCCAACCAAACAUCUGUAAAGCGAACUGCCAUAAUAUUGAAGGAAGCUUCUAUUGUACGGAGUGUCCUCGCGGUACCGAGUAUGAUCUGGACAAAAUGCAGUGUACAACAACAAAACAACAAAUUCUGCUUUCAGGUAUUAUUAUUGGGUUGUGUGCUGGCUUCGGCAUUCUAGCUCUGAGUUUUAGUGCAACAUUUCUCAUUCGUAGAUGGAAUAGAAAUGUUCAACGGCAACUACGGAAGAAUUGA